GACGAACGCUGGCGGCGUGCUUAACACAUGCAAGUCGAACGGAAAGGCCCUGCUUUUGUGGGGUGCUCGAGUGGCGAACGGGUGAGUAACACGUGAGUAACCUGCCCUUGACUUUGGGAUAACUUCAGGAAACUGGGGCUAAUACCGGAUAGGAGCUCCUGCUGCAUGGUGGGGGUUGGAAAGUUUCGGCGGUUGGGGAUGGACUCGCGGCUUAUCAGCUUGUUGGUGGGGUGGUGGCUUACCAAGGCUUUGACGGGUAGCCGGCCUGAGAGGGUGACCGGCCACAUUGGGACUGAGAUACGGCCCAGACUCCUACGGGAGGCAGCAGUGGGGAAUAUUGCACAAUGGGCGAAAGCCUGAUGCAGCAACGCCGCGUGCGGGAUGACGGCCUUCGGGUUGUAAACCGCUUUCGCCUGUGACGAAGCGUGAGUGACGGUAAUGGGUAAAGAAGCACCGGCUAACUACGUG
rnacentral:rRNA from 1 species